GGAGACUCUUGUGAUAUUCAAAAGGUGAAAGUUUUUGAAGCUAAAUACUGGAGAUUUUGAGUUUUAUGAGAAAGGGGUUUUGAUAUUUUCUUUUGGUAAAGAUGCAUAAAUCGGCAGUGUAUAAAGGGGAGGAGUUACUUGGAGAAGUAGAAAUAUAUCCACAACAGCAACAAGAAGGAGAAGAAGAGAAUCACAACAACAAGAAGAGAGUGAUAGAUGAGAUAUUGACGGGGAAGGAAAU
rnacentral:misc_RNA from 1 species